GACGAACCGUGCAAACGUUGUUCGGAAUCACUGGGCUUAAAGGGCGCGUAGGCGGGGUCGUAAGUCCGUGGUGAAAUCCGUCGGCUCAACCGGCGAAUGGCCGUGGAUACUGCGACCCUCGAGGGGUGUAGGGGCAUGCGGAACUCAGGGUGGAGCGGUGAAAUGCGUAGAGAUCCUGAGGAACGCCGGUGGCGAAAGCGGCGUGCUGGACACCUUCUGACGCUGAGGCGCGAAAGCCAGGGGAGCAAACGGG
rnacentral:rRNA from 1 species